rnacentral:misc_RNA from 1 species
CAGAGGUUCACCGGAACCAUAGUUGGAAUAGGCGAUGCUGAUCCAAGCAGGUGGCCGGGAUCAAAAUGGCGCUCCCUCAAGGUGAGAUGGGAUGAGACCUCUUCAGUUCCUCGACCGGAAAGGGUCUCUCCUUGGAAAAUAGAACCUGCCAUGACUCCUCCGAUGAACCCACUUCCGGUGCCGAGGCCUAAAAGGCCUCGUCCGAGUGCAAUGCCGACAUCCCCUGAAUCAUCGGUACUCACAAAAGAAGUUGCAG